rnacentral:tRNA from 1 species
ACCUGGCUGGCUCAGUGGGUGGAGCAUUUGACUCUUGAUCUUGGGGUUGUGAGUUCAAGACCCAUGCUGGGUG